AUUGAACGCUGGCGGUAUGCUUAACACAUGGAAGUCGAACGAUGAGAAAGAGCUUGCUCUUUCGAUUAGUGGCGGACGGGUGCGUAACGCGUAGGAAUCUACCUAUUAGUGGGGGACAACUUAGGGAAACUUAAGCUAAUACCGCAUACGCCCUACGGGGGAAAGAAGGGGAUCGCAAGACCUUUUGCUAAUAGAUGAGCCUGCGUAGGAUUAGCUAGUUGGUGGGGUAAAAGCUCACCAAGGCGACGAUCCUUAACUGGUUUGAGAGAAUGAUCAGUCACACUGGAACUGAGACACGGUCCAGACUCCUACGGGAGGCAGCAGUGGGGAAUAUUGGGCAAUGGGCGAAAGCCUGAUCCAGCAAUACCGCGUGUGUGAAGAAGGCCUUAGGGUUGUAAAGCGCUUUCAAUUGGAAGGAAAACCUCGAAGCUAAUACCUUCGAGUUUGACAUUACCUUUAGAAGAAGCACCGGCUAACUCCGUGCCAGCCGCCGCAGUAA
rnacentral:rRNA from 1 species